UCAGUCUAUAUGUGUGGCGACAUGCAGCACCUUCUGGUAUAGGAUUGCGGAUAACUUCGGCCAUCUGGGGAUAUUUUGAGGUGCUCUGGAAAUUUCCUACACACGGUGCUGGAAGCAAUGUUUAUCUUCUCCACAUUGCGAUGGUCCUCGACUGGGAUAGAACCCGCGAUCUGGAGCUCAUCAGCUUACAGUGCUAUUGAUGCCGGCGGCUCUGUCGAUUAAUGUUUCUCCAUCUGAGGAAUCUUCAGCCAACGCCGAAAUUUCGGGAUACGACAGAAGAAUGUUUAAAACCUCUCGCAAAGAGGGGACGCAUCUACGCUAUUUGUAUGAUGCCGCCAAUCACGGCCAUUCCCUGCUGGGCUUAUACGUGCAACAUUAGCAGCAGUUACUGGACACGUAAUCAAGUGAUUCAACGAGGCCGAGCUGUCCUAACUUGCCCAGACAUGCCGUGAUGACGUCACAGUGACGUCACAGGAUGUCCGGAACUGGUGGUCAUAGCUGCGAUGCUUUGCAACCUGCCUCUGUGCUCCGUCGCCCAGCGACGGUCAGCGGCCUUUCCGGACCGCUUUCUUCAAGAUGGCGCCGUUGAUCUUCAAUUAAACUCCUUCUCUCCACUCUAUUUCUAUCUAUUUUUUUAUUUUUUAUGGACUCUCAUAGUGCACAACGCUCAGCUGGUCUGGACACGAGUUAGACUUUCCCCAGUUAGUGUGGUGGCUCCCUGGAGGGUGCUAAUUAAUGUGGGGGGUCCCAAUUAGCUCUAAUUGCUAAUUAAAUCGUGUUCAGGCCAGUUGGGCGUUGUGCACUGUGAGAGUCCAGUACCUACUACUGAUGGCAACGACGACAAUGACGAUUCAUCUCACGCGACUCAUGUCACACGCAUUAUCAUUCUGUCCAUUAAACCGUUGCCAUCAUCACGCUGUGCUGCCCGCGUAUCACCAAAUGAUACGGGCAGCACAGCGUGAUGACGGCAAUGGUUUAAGGCCGAAUCACCCAACCCGCUCAUGUCAUCUUUCGCGAUGGAUGGCGCCACGCACUGUUGAGCCACGUGAUAUUUCUGGACCAAAAUCGGAAAUGACGAAUGCACGCGCGUUUGCGUGUCUAUACGUUGUCUGACUUUGGGUAUACUUUGGGUACUGACGGCACGAGGAGCCCGCUGGCUGCUGCUGCUUUUCAGGGUGUAGAGAAGAAAGAGAUCAAUAGUAAACACCUUGUAAAGGAAAUUGUGACACGAAAAGACAUAUAUUACUCUUUGGAAUGUGCGCCAUUUACCUGUUUAUAUCAGAAAAUCGUUUUGGAAGAGUGAUUCAGAGAGUUUGCAUUCUACAUGUUGACGAAACACACACGGUCUUUUUCUUCCUUCAUUACGACACAAUGGCUGUACUAGCUUACCAUGACCUGUACUCAGUGGCGUAGCCAGACCUCCAAGGUAGGGGGGGCUCGGUACGAAAACUCGCCCCCCCUCGCUGAUCCUGUGUCGACAACACACACAUACUUGUGCACACUGCAAACUGAGGAUUAAAAAGGAACGAAAAUAGUUGAUUUAGAGGUUCACAGUACGAUUACAUGUAUAGGCUGUCAUGACUAAUGAGGUGGUGUCACGAGAUUGGAAGUAUUUUGAAAAGCUCAUACUUUGAAAACCAUUCAAGAGUGAAUACCAGCAGUGGCGUAGUCACGGGGGGGGGGGCUAAGGGGGGCUCAAGCCCCCCCUACCUGCCACGGACCGACCCACACAAAUCGUGCAAAUCCGAGAAAAUAAUAUAUGUGUGGGGGGGGGGGGGGGACCAGUGUGACGAUCGCGAAAGUUCUUGCAGUUCAUCACGUCUAUCUAAGAAGCUUCUUAGAUAGACGUCAUGAACUGCAAGAACUGUCCCGAAAGUCCGUCCCGGCCGCCACGACGCAAAACCCAUCAGAGGAAUAGCCUGCUUUGUAUCCCACUCAUACGUCUCCCUCAGAAAUCAUUCCGUCAACUCCCCCAUCCCCCCCCCUUUCAACACUUUCCCAAACUUCCCCUUCGCAACAAGAGCAGAUCAUUAUCUUCUAUAAGUUCUGCACGUUUGCUCACUUCCCUAAGCAGCGAUAACGAAAGAUGCGAAACGCUAAGCGGGACUCCAACUUUGUUCCAUCACGCGCCUUCCAUUGCUGAUUGAGAAAACUCCAGCAAUGACAACGCCCGCAAACGCCACAUGUGCAAACGGCCACAAACAGCGCACCUAGAGAAUAUAAAUUGAGAGGCCUCGCUGUCACAUGGUUUUUGCUCGAAAGGAUAAAUGUGGUUGAAAGAUUAGUCGAUAGUUAGGGUGGGGAUAGGGAGGGCGAAGAGAAGGGCAAAAUGGGGUCGCCGACGACCGCAUGUUUUUGUGUCCCGUUUGUGCACCGUUGAAUACACUUACACCUGAGCCGACGACGCGGGGAAAUGAUUGUGCGGAGCAGUUCAUGUCAGUGGUAUGAGCGAUGCAAAGGGUUUUGUUAAGGAAGACGACAGGAUUGCAGGGACACGGGAGCUCGUGAGCUUCCGCCCUGUAUGUUCUCUUCCGCCAUUGCUGUCAAUAAAAGCUAUGCCACCGAUCCUUA